CUUCAGUGUGUGUGUGGCGGUAGCUCCUCACUCUUCAACCUUGUUUCUCUUUUCAAUUUCUCUCAGGUAACGCUUCUUCUUCCUCUUCGCCGCGUUUUCAUGUGAAUUCUCGUCUCUAAUUGUAACUGCAAUCCCUCACAGUCUCUCAUAUCAUACUUGCAAUAGCUUAGCUGUUUUCCGCAUCUUUCUAGGGUUUUCAGAAACGAUUCCCGAUCUGAAUGUUUUCCAUUAUUAAUAUUAAAAAAGGACGAUUUUGUGUGCUCUCUCAGCAAUGGUAGCUGCAAAUUGUUUGAGCUGUAUGGUAAUGAAACAAAAAUGAAGCUGUUGGCCAAAGAACUGGCCCCUCUGCAGAAUAUCGGUUCUCAAAACUGCAUUACUUUUAGUGUUGAUGGAUCUAAAUUUGCCACCGGUGGUUCAGUAAGUAUCGCUUUGAAAUCCAUUCGAUUCAAUUGUGUUUCUUUGUUGUGUGGCAUUUCUAGCGUUCGUUUCUAGAGUUUGACUCAAUGAUUAAAUAUUUGGUUAUUCUGUGAUGAUAGAUACAACUUUUGUUCUUGGUUUAGGGAAUGAUUCUGGAAUUAUUAGGGAUCUAUCUUAUCAGGUUUCACUUUCUCAUGAAAAUUGAGUCUUCUUCUAUUACUCAUCAUCUCAUUAUCAUAAUCAUCAUGUUCUUCACCUCUUCCAACAAUAACCCUUUCUCUUUCACCAUCAUAAUGGUAGUUCUUCUCCCUUUAUUGUUUCAGCUUCUUCUUCUUCUUCGGUGGCUUCUUCUUCUGCAAUCUAUGUUAGUAAGGUGUUUGCACAAUUAGGACUAUUUUUAUUUCAACAUAUUAUCUGAUUUCAUUGCAGGUUAGACUUCAAGUGGAGGUGCCACCAGUUGUCUGUGAGGAUUGUUACGAAAGGGUCAUAUCUGAGUUUACAAAACAAGCAAAGGUCCCCGGAUUCUGCCCCGGAAAGCCGGUUCCAGAAAGUAUUCUUGUCGGUUAUGUCGGGCGCAAAAAUGUUCAGAAGGCCAUAAUUGAAUCUAUAUUGAGAACACUUUUUUAUUCACAUCAAAGUAU